UACGUAGGGGGCGAGCGUUUGUCCGGAAUUAUUGGGCGUAAAGAGCUCGUAGGCGGUUCGGCAAGUCACGUGUGAAAUCUCCACGCUCAACGUGGAGGCGCCACGUGAGACUGCUGUGACUCGAGUCCGGUAGGGGAGCGUGGAAUUCCCGGUGUAGCGGUGAAAUGCGCAGAGAUCGGGAGGAACACCCGUAGCGAAGGCGGCUCACUGGCCCGAUACUGACGCUGAGGUGCGAAAGCGUGGGGAGCAAACAGG
rnacentral:rRNA from 1 species